GCGCACAUAUCACGUUGAAACACCGGUUCUCGUACGAUCACUGAGGUUAAGCAACGUCGAACCUGUUCAGUAGUCAAGAUGGGUGACCGCUUGUGGAUACCAGGUGUUGGA